GUAGCGGCGAGCGAACGGGGAGCAGCCCAGAGCCUGAAUCAGUGUGUGUGUUAGUGGAAGCGUCUGGAAAGGCGCGCGAUACAGGGUGACAGCCCCGUACACAAAAAUGCACAUGCUGUGAGCUCGAUGAGUAGGGCGGGACACGUGGUAUCCUGUCUGAAUAUGGGGGGACCAUCCUCCAAGGCUAAAUACUCCUGACUGACCGAUAGUGAACCAGUACCGUGAGGGAAAGGCGAAAAGAACCCCGGCGAGGGGAGUGAAAAAGAACCUGAAACCGUGUACGUACAAGCAGUGGGAGCACGCUUAGGCGUGUGACUGCGUACCUUUUGUAUAAUGGGUCAGCGACUUAUAUUCUGUAGCAAGGUUAACCGAAUAGGGGAGCCGAAGGGAAACCGAGUCUUAACUGGGCGUUAAGUUGCAGGGUAUAGACCCGAAACCCGGUGAUCUAGCCAUGGGCAGGUUGAAGGUUGGGUAACACUAACUGGAGGACCGAACCGACUAAUGUUGAAAAAUUAGCGGAUGACUUGUGGCUGGGGGUGAAAGGCCAAUCAAACCGGGAGAUAGCUGGUUCUCCCCGAAAGCU
rnacentral:rRNA from 1 species